UACGUAGGUGGCAAGCGUUGUCCGGAUUUAUUGGGCGUAAAGCGAGCGCAGGCGGUUCCUUAAGUCUGAUGUGAAAGCCCACGGCUCAACCGUGGAAGGUCAUUGGAAACUGGGGAACUUGAGUGCAGAAGAGGAGAGUGGAAUUCCAUGUGUAGCGGUGAAAUGCGUAGAUAUAUGGAGGAACACCAGUGGCGAAGGCGACUCUCUGGUCUGUAACUGACGCUGAGGCUCGAAAGCGUGGGGAGCAAACAGGAUUAGA
rnacentral:rRNA from 1 species